UACGGAGGGUGCAAGCGUUGUCCGGAUUUAUUGGGUUUAAAGGGUGCGUAGGCGGCCCUGUAAGUCAGUGGUGAAAUUCUUGAGCUUAACUGAAGGAUUGCCAUUGAUACUGUAGGGCUUGAGUACAGAUGAGGUAGGCGGAAUUGAUGGUGUAGCGGUGAAAUGCAUAGAUACCAUCAAGAACACCGAUUGCGAAGGCAGCUUACUAAGCUGGAACUGACGCUUAUGAGCGAAAGCCAGGGGAGCAAACGGG
rnacentral:rRNA from 1 species